rnacentral:rRNA from 1 species
UACGUAGGGUGCAAGCGUUAAUCGGAAUUACUGGGCGUAAAGCGUACGCAGGCGGCUAUGUAAGACAGGUGUGAAAUCCCCGGGCCUAACCUGGGAACCGCAUUUGUGACUGCAUAGCUAGAGUCCGUCAGAGGGGGGUGGAAUUCCACGUGUAGCAGUGAAAUGCGUAGAGAUGUGGAGGAACACCGAUGGCGAAGGCAGCCCCCUGGGAUGAGACUGACGCUCAUGUACGAAAGCGUGGGGAGCAAACAGG